CGCGUAGGUAACCUGCCUUGUAGCGGGGGAUAACUAUUGGAAACGAUAGCUAAUACCGCAUAACAAUGGAUGACACAUGUCAUUUAUUUGAAAGGGGCAAUUGCUCCACUACAAGAUGGACCUGCGUUGUAUUAGCUAGUAGGUGAGGUAACGGCUCACCUAGGCGACGAUACAUAGCCAACCUGAGAGGGUGAUCGGCCACACUGGGACUGAGACACGGCCCAG
rnacentral:rRNA from 1 species